ACCGCGUUGGCGCACGGUGGUGGUUGGUUUGGUGGCAGGCUCCAGGGCGCCCGAGGUGCGGGUUGGGAUCGGGGGAAACCCCUAUCGGCAUGGCCAACACCGGCGCGGUGGCGCCUGUGGGUGCCACCUGACCUUCCGGGAGGGCGUCGGGGCUACCCUUCCUCUCGCCUCGUCGUGUACCGGGGGAAACCCUUGGCAGCAGCGUCGUCAUCGUCGCGAUCCUUCUUGGAGGUGUUGAUAGGUGCCGGCGCUUCGGAGUCCUGGAGUCUAGUGGAAGAUCCUGGUGGGCGCUGCGAUCGCG
rnacentral:rRNA from 1 species